rnacentral:rRNA from 1 species
CGCGGUAUCAUGACCGUGCGAAGGUAGCAUAAUCAUUAGUCUUUUAAUUGGGGGCUGGUAUGAAGGGUCGGACGAGAAAUGAGCUGUCUUAAAUUUUGAAAAUUGAAUUUAACUUUUAAGUGAGAAGGCUUAAAUAGGCUAGGGGGACGAUAAGACCCUAUAAAGUUUGACAUUAAAUUAAUUAAGGGUGAUUUAGAUUAUAAAGUCUUAUUAUUAUAUAAGUGUUUAGUUGGGGCGACUAGGAUAUAAGUUAUUUAACUGUUUCUUCAUUCGAAUCAAAAAUUUUUGAUUUUAUGAUCCUUUUUAAGGGUACUAGAGUAAAUUACUUUAGGGAUAACAGCGUAAUUUUUUUUGAGAGUUCUUAUCGAUAAAAGAGUUUGCGACCUCGAUGUUGAAUUAAAA